rnacentral:rRNA from 1 species
UACGUAGGGACCAAGCGUUGUCCGGAAUUAUUGGGCGUAAAGGGCUCGUAGGCGGUUUGUCGCGUCGGGAGUGAAAACUCAGGGCUCAACCCUGAGCGUGCUUCCGAUACGGGCAGACUAGAGGUAUGCAGGGGAGAACGGAAUUCCUGGUGUAGCGGUGGAAUGCGCAGAUAUCAGGAGGAACACCAGUGGCGAAGGCGGCGAUCUGGGCAGAUACUGACGCUGAGGUGCGAAAGCGUGGGGAGCAAACAGG